rnacentral:rRNA from 1 species
AACAAACCGUUCUACAAACCAACAUAAGGUGGGUUGGCGUUUAUGCGCUAAGGUUUACACAUACUCCCGGGAAAGGAACUCGGCAAAUUACUAGCGUGACUUCGGAGGAAGCUAGACUUAAAAGUGGAUAGUAUUUACUUUUAAGUGUCACAUAAUCGAGGGUGGUGACUAUUUAAUAAAAAUACAGGACUUUGCUAAGUAGAAAUACUAUGUAUAAAGUCUGACGUCUGCCCGGUACGGGGAGAUAAUGUAUUACUGUGAAAGCAGUGUAUAAUAAGGACCCGUAAACGGCAGCCAUAACUCUGAUGGUUCUAAGGUGAGCGAAAUUCCUUGGCCUAUAAUUGAGGUCCUGCAUGAAUGACGUCACGACUGCCCUACUGUCUCUCCCGGGACGUGGGCGAAUUUGACAUUCUCGUGAAGAGGCGAGAAACCUAGCGCGGGACAACGAGACCCUAUGCACCUUUACUCUAGGCUAUUGAAAUCUUUUGGUAUAGAAUUUUUCAGAAUAGGUGGAAGCAAUCCUUUUAAGUUGCGUCAAGUGAGAUACCACCAUUUUCUGUAUAAAAGAAAGUAAAAAGUAUACUAUAGAACAAUCUUUUUGUACUUUUUUCAAAGAUAGCUUGGGAGUUUUUCUGGGGCGGAAGCCUCCAAAAAAGUAUCGGGGGCGUGCCAAGGUUCGGAAAAUCUAUGUAUAUAGAAUUUUUAAAAUGACAACCCAUAAACCGAGCCUGACUGUGAGGAAUACCUUCCGAGCAGACACGAAAGUGGGCGGUAGUGAACCAGCAAAAAGAAGUGGAAUUUUUGUUGAUCAACGGAUUAAAGGUACGCUAGGGAUAACAGGUUUAUUUUCUCCAAGAGUUCAUAUCGACGAGAAAGGUUGACACCUCGAUGUCGGCUCAUCGCAUCCUCCUGCUGCAGAAGGUAGGAAGGGUUAGACUGUUCGUCUAUUAAAGCGGUACGUGAGCUGGGUUUAUUCCGUCGUGAGACAGGAAGGUUCUUCUCUGCGCUAGGUAUAAUGACCAUCAUAUAGACCCUUUAGUACGAAAGGACCUGGGGGUCCGCACCUCUGAUCUACCAGUUGUUUUGCAAAAAGCACCGCUGGGCAGUUAAGUGCGCAGACAGUAUGGCUGAAAGCAUCUGAAGCCAGAAAGUCGUAUGUAGACAAGUCUCUAAUAAACGCUAGAGUCUAUAGCGAAAAUCGGUGUUUGGUUAACUAACGUGAGUUAUGGCCAGAACAUACGAAA